rnacentral:rRNA from 1 species
ACGGGCGUCUGCAUUAACAUGCAGUCGACGGCAGCAUGAUCUAGCUUGCUAGAUUGAUGGCGAGUGGCGAACGGGUGAGUAAUACAUCGGAACGUGCCCUGUAGUGGGGGAUAACUAGUCGAAAGAUUAGCUAAUACCGCAUACGACCUGAGGGUGAAAGUGGGGGACCGCAAGGCCUCAUGCUAUAGGAGCGGCCGAUGUCUGAUUAGCUAGUUGGUGAGGUAAAGGCUCACCAAGGCGACGAUCAGUAGCUGGUCUGAGAGGAGAUCAGCCAUACUGGGACUGAGACACGGCCCAGACUCAUACGGGAGGCAGCAGUGGGGAAUUUUGGACAAUGGGCGAAAGCCUGAUCCAGCAAUGCCGCGUGUGUGAAGAAGGCCUUCGGGUUGUAAAGCACUUUUGUCCGGAAAGAAAUGGCUCUGGUUAAUACCUGGGGUCGAUGACGGUACCGGAAGAAUAAGGACCGGCUAACUACGUGCCAGCAGCCGCGGUAAUACGUAGGGUCCAAGCGUUAAUCGGAAUUACUGGGCGUAAAGCGUGCGCAGGCGGUUGUGCAAGACCGAUGUGAAAUCCCCGAGCUUAACUUGGGAAUUGCAUUGGUGACUGCACGGCUAGAGUGUGUCAGAGGGGGGUAGAAUUCCACGUGUAGCAGUGAAAUGCGUAGAGAUGUGGAGGAAUACCGAUGGCGAAGGCAGCCCCCUGGGAUAACACUGACGCUCAUGCACGAAAGCGUGGGGAGCAAACAGGAUUAGAUACCCUGGUAGUCCACGCCCUAAACGAUGUCAACUAGUUGUUGGGGAUUCAUUUCCUUAGUAACGUAGCUAACGCGUGAAGUUGACCGCCUGGGGAGUACGGUCGCAUGAUUAAUAUCUAGUUGAGAGGGUGACUGGG